UUGAAACUUAUGGUGGCCAAAGUUAACCAUAGGUCACUAUUUGAUAUAUGUCUUUAAGGUUUUCAUAUCUUUGACACUUUAUACUUUUUCUGCCUUCUAGGCAAUCACUUCUACACAGAUGUGCAUUGAUUCUUCACUUUUGUUGAUGUUGAUAUGGUACAUUGCCUUUUUUAUGUUAUGUUUCUUUACUCAAUAUGACUUGAGGCUAUUUAUUGUAUUCGUUAGCCUAAUUUGUGCAACACUCACCCGGGAAGUUCCGUGCUUCUGUAGCAUGAACAAGAGCACCAGGAUAACUGCAGAGAGAGCCUCCACAAUGGCUGCGAGAUCGAAAGGCUUCCGAUGAGAAUGAUGCCAAGAUGUUGGGUUCUUGAGAGGAACCAGCCUGCCUGACGAGACCACUUACAUUUACUGACCGAAUGAAGAGGGCCUCUUAAGCCAUCCAUUGCCGACAGCCUCAAGGGUACAGUUAAUUAUGUUAGAUCAGAGUUCCCAAUUUCAUGGAAGAUCUGGUUUUCCUUCGGCUAUUGUCUGUGAUAUGUUUAUCUUGAAAUAUGAUCUAUAAUUCAAUUGUGGUUUUUUCUUUUUCAUUCCUUUUUUUUUGCUUUUUGUGUUUGCAAUUGUUGACUGUGAGUUCAAGGCUGGCUUUGAGUUGAACUAUAUCUAUGAUAUCAUUUCUUAGUGCCAAAUAUCUAUGGAUGGAGUACAUUUUUCAUAUCUGUUGGUGAGGAGUCAAUGUAUCUGUGCUGGGUGGAAAUGAUAAAAAGCAUGACGCACGAUUUGAAACUCUAAAGGCUCUUGACUACGAUCUUUUGUGGAGUUUCAUGUUUUUUCGUUGCUUCCAUUGAUGCUUUCAGACUGGAGAGAUCAGUGGAGACAUCAACUUAUAGGAAUUUGAUUAAGAAGUUUAUAUUUGAGGACCCGGAGUAAUUCAUAAGUCAAGUUUUAAAUGAAAGAAACUGGAUCGAUUUUCCUUCGGUUAUCUCUUCUGCCGUUGUUAUUUCAUUGUAUUCAAGCUCAAUCGGGUUUUAUUUUUGUUUUGUGAAGGUUCUUAUUUAGAGGGUUGUACACACUCACUUUUUACAGUUUUCAUUGAGAUGAACCUGGUCAAAAACUAACCCACUGAAAAGAGAACCCUGAGAAUCUUGUUAUCCCCUUUCUUAAUAUAGGCUAAUUUUCUCCUAUUUAUACAUAGACCUCCUCAUUGUCUAGUUCCUAGUGCUGGACUUGGUAGGCUUGCACUGGGGGUUUCUUGUCUAAGUGAAAACAAUAUUCAGUUACUCCUAACCGCUUCUAGUUCCUUUUUCCCCCUUUUGUCAUAUCAUUUGACUCUCCACUGUGUCUUAUAGGAUAUCUUUGUCAAGGAAAUGCUUUUUCUUAUUAUAUGGUGAUCUCCUCAAAGUUUCUUUGACCAGGUUGAUCCUUUUUGACAUAUUGAGCCUUGAUUUGGAUAAAGAUGAGGUACGGCUGGUGGGGACGUAGAUACAAGCCUUAUCAGAAGGAAAUAACAUUUGAUAAAAAAUUAGAUCAGAGUUCCAGGACAUGAUUAACAAUGAUUAUACCCUGAGAAUGUGAAUGAAGAACUGUAGCCGACGAUCUUAGAGAAAAACAGCUCGCUAACUAUGCUCCUCUCAAAGUAUGUAGAGUUCCCACACGGCCUAGAGGAUACUAGGAUUCUAACAAGGACUAGCUAGCUCUCAACUUCAAGCUUUUCAUACCCAAUUUCUCCUUAGAGGACCUUGGAGUUUAAUUUAUUUCAAAAGAUUGUUUCUUCUCAGAUCAAGUUGAGCGUACUAUUUAUGGCCUCAACAUGAGGCUUUUAAAGGAGUGUUCUUAGAUCUGGCCUAGAAAUCCCAGCAUCUCCCUUAAUUAAUGGGCUGGAAUUUCCACCUUAAAUGUUCCUAAAAGUAGUGAAAGUGGUUGGGGUUUCUUAAAGUAUCUUAAAAUUUUUAAUAGCCCUAAAUAUCUCUAGAAACGGUCAAAAAAUUGUCAAAGAUAGCUUGGACUUAUGAUAUAUGAAAAUCAGAAAAAGAGAUACUUAUUGUCACCCAAUCCUGUGUGUUGACUCCAGCUAGUGCAUGGUCGACUCUAUUGUCCUCAUCAAAUUCUUGUGGUAAUUUAUCAUUCUUUUUGGCUUUCAGUUGGCUAAAGAGUGAGCUUGGGAUUUUUCUUUUUAGAAUCACUAUUUAUUGGGUAAGAAGUUUGAUGAAAUGACAUGAUUCCACCCACUCCCCCUCUUGCUAUUUCUUCGGUAAAACAUGGAAUGCCUUUGUAACCUUACAAAUUGUUCGAUUUGCAUAAAUUUUAUUCGAAUGAUUUUCUUAGGUUCUCUAUUGAUGAAUUACACAACUUGUCAGUUCUAUUACAUUUGAUUUCUAGAUGUGUUACUUGCUCAAUUUCUUAGAAGCGGGGAUUAAUACUAUAACUGUUGCUAUAAAAAACAUCUAAAUCUGUAACUUUCUCUUUCUUAUAAAGCACAUGAAUGCCUAAGAUAAUCAAAGCAGAGAUUAAAAGCAUUAGGGCUUUCAGGGAGAUGGUUCAUGCUGAGGAUACUCAAUGUCGUUCAGAAGUAUGGCAUUGUGACUCUUGGAAACUCCGAUUGCAUCACAUAGGUACUUUGCUGAGGAUCAAAGGAAAUUCAUGGACAGAACAUAGAAUGAUAAACGAAGUGAGAUCUAGAGAUUUUUUUUUAUUGGGAGAGCUUUUUCUCAGUGGAGAAGUAAUUAAAGUCGUAGUAGAGUCAUUUUAUGUUAAGUCAUAGCAUGGUAAUAUCAGCAUGUUUAGAGCGUGUGAGACUUAUGAAUUUGUUCGAACACAUUUGGUUACAUCUUUAUGUAAGUUUUUCAUUUCUAGAUUAUUGGGUGAUCUGUCAGGGAUCAAGUUGUUUUUGUAUAUAGUAUUGUGUUCAGCUUUCUUUUGAUCAUGAUAUAACAUCUUUCUGAUCUUCUUGCAGCAACUUGGGAAGCUGUUGUGGCUUGUUUCUUCAUCGACACUGCCAUAAUGUUGAUGAAGAAACAAAAGUUCUGAAACCUGAAGGGGUAGAUUUUGCUCAUGGCUUCUUGCAAUGUUACUACAGUUAUGUGUUCACACAACUCAGAGUCAUUUGACACUUAGUUUUUUGUAGAUAGUGCAUGGUAAUGGACCCGGAACUCACAUCUAGGGACCAAAAAAACUUAUGAUUUCCAAUUAUCUAAUCAUAUCUGUUGAUGAUCAAGUUUGAGGAAAUUCGGAGAUCAAGGGCGGCAUGGUCGUGCACUGCACAUUCCUUUCUGCUCAUUCUGUGUGAUCGGUUUUCCUGUUUCUAUUGAUCAACAGAUUUGGAUCAACUUUGGGCCCCUUCCCUAUCAUUUUGCAGAUUCAUAUGGGCCUGGC
rnacentral:lncRNA from 1 species